rnacentral:rRNA from 1 species
UACGUAGGGUGCAAGCGUUGUCCGGAUUUAUUGGGUUUAAAGGGUGCGUAGGCGGCCUUGUAAGUCAGUGGUGAAAUACUCCAGCUUAACUGGAGGGGUGCCAUUGAUACUGCAGGGCUUGAGUUAAGUUGAAGUUGGCGGAAUUGACGGUGUAGAGGUGAAAUGCGUAGAUAUGGGGAAGAACACCGAUAGUGAAGGCAGCUAACUAAACUUUUACUGACGCUGAGGCGCGAAAGUGUGGGGAUCAAACAGG